UACAGGGGGGGGCAAGCGUUGUUCGGAAUUACUGGGCGUAAAGGGUUCGUAGGCGGCCAACUAAGUCACACGUGAAAUCCCCAGGCUUAACCUGGGAACUGCGUGUGAUACUGGAUGGCUUGAAUUCGGGAGAGGGAUGCAGAAUUCCAGGUGUAGCGGUGAAAUGCGUAGAUAUCUGGAGGAAUACCGGUGGCGAAGGCGGCAUCCUGGACCGACAUUGACGCUGAUGAGCGAAAGCUAGGGGAGCAAACGGG
rnacentral:rRNA from 1 species